CUUGGCGACCAUAGCGAAGUGGAACCACCUGAUCCCAUCCCGAACUCAGUAGUGAAACGCUUUAGCGCCGAUGGUAGUGUGGGGUCUCCCCAUGUGAGAGUAGGUCAUUGCCAAGC
rfam:Neptunomonas antarctica strain DSM 22306 genome assembly, contig: Ga0111702_120